rnacentral:rRNA from 1 species
UACGUAGGGUCCGAGCGUUGUCCGGAUUUAUUGGGCGUAAAGAGCUCGUAGGCGGUUUCGUAAGUCGGAUGUGAAAACUCAGGGCUCAACCCGGAGACGCCAUCUGAUACUGCGAUGACUUGAGUCUGGUAGGGGAUCACGGAAUUCCUGGUGUAGCGGUGAAAUGCGCAGAUAUCAGGAGGAACACCGAUGGCGAAGGCAGGUCUCUGGGCAUUAACUGACGCUGAGGAGCGAAAGCAUGGGGAGCGAACAGG